GAAUUUUGUUGUUUUUUUUAUUCUAGAAAAAAGGUGCAAUUCCCUUGGAGAAUUUCAAAAACCCAUACAAGAUAAAAUCUGAACUGCAGUAUGAUGUGAAAAGUUAUUGCAUAUAUGGAGUACUAUUUUGAAACCAAAACUGGUGCUAAUUUUUACUAUUUUUUUUGUUUGCAAAUGUUUGGUUGGUUUUGAGGACUUGUUUUUGUUUAUUUGUUUUGCCUUCUGGGUGAUGCAGGCAAAUCUUUUGACUGGAAUUGUACUUUUCAUGAUCUGCAGUUAUGUUUUGGUGUAAAAGAAUUUUUGCUCAUUGCUCCUCAAAGUGCAAGUGGUGUAGUUCUUGAUGCACCAGAGGCUAGCAGGCUAUUAAGUGCUGUUGCAAUUGCUAUGUCAAAUAGUUUAAGAGACUAUGGUGGGUUUCUUUCCUCUCUAAUUGCUCAAGAUCUCUUCAUUUGUCCAUCUUAAAUGAAGUGAUCUGACUUUUUAACUUGCUUCUAACUUUAUACCCAUGUCAAAUGGGAAGUAGCCCAGUAUUUCUUUCUACACUCCAUGUGAUGGAAUCUAUCUUUUUAGCUAGAACGAGUUCUUACGGAUUUUGUGCUGGAGUUGUAGAUUUUCUGUUCUUGGUAUUAGAUUUCUUUGUUUUCUCUUUCCAAAUAGGAUAUUGUGCAAAGCUUAUUUUUGGUUUUAUAAUGUAACUGUUUAGGAUGCUAGUUUCAAUCGUAAUAAUUCCAGUGAAGUUUCUUCUCCAGUUGUUGGGUACCUUCCAGGUUAUAUGGACUAUCAAGUAGAAAUGAGACCACGGAUCCCUAAUUUUGUUUGUAUCAUUGCUGCAGGCCAUGCAAUUGCUACAGCUGCAAUUGUCUUCCCUCCAUCAAUCAAAAUGGAGGAGGAGGAGCUGUUUCAGUUGCUCUUGUCCUCAAUCAAAAUGCUGGCAAGGUAGAGACGACUUCGGAAUUGGUGCAUUCUCCCAAAAUCCUGCACUUGUUCUUGCCCCAGUUGUCCAAGAUAAAUAGCAAUGAGUAUAUUUGGUAGAAGGCUAAUGCUAGAGAGACAAAGGAAGAACUAAUUGAUAGAGGGCCUAAGUUCCUGGACUAGUAUAUUUCUGUUCACAAAAAUCUUUGUUGCUAAUUGUUUACAAUUAUAUAAAGAGCAGUGUAUUAUAGAUGUGCUAAAGGAUAACUCUAUUCAUUUUGUAGAAGCUAAUUUAAUUUUACUUAUCUUCUUUUUAUUUUAA